rnacentral:rRNA from 1 species
CUACGGGCCGCAGCAGUGAGGAAUAUUGCACAAUGGGGGGAACCCUGACGCAGCAACGCCGCGUGGAGGAUGACGCAUUUCGGUGUGUAAACUCCUUUUAUAUGUCAAGAAAAUGACGGUAGCAUAUGAAUAAGCACCGGCUAACUCCGUGCCAGCAGCCGCGGUAAUACGGAGGGUGCAAGCGUUACUCGGAAUCACUGGGCGUAAAGGACGCGUAGGCGGAUUGGAAAGUCAGGUGUGAAAUCCUACAGCUUAACUGUAGAACUGCACUUGAAACUUCUAAUCUAGAGUAUGGGAGGGGGAGAUGGAAUUAGUGGUGUAGGGGUAAAAUCCGUAGAUAUCACUAGGAAUACCUAAAGCGAAGGCGAUCUCCUGGAACAUUACUGACGCUAAGGCGUGAAAGCGUGGGGAGCAAACAGGAUUAGAUACCCCCGUAGUC